rnacentral:snRNA from 1 species
GUGCUCGCUUCGGCAGCACAUAUACUAAAAUUGGAAUGAUACAGAGAAGAAUGGCGUGGCCCCUGCGCAAGGAUGACACGCAAACUCGUGAAGCGCUCCAUAUUUUU